rnacentral:rRNA from 1 species
UACAGAGGUCUCAAGCGUUGUUCGGAUUCAUUGGGCGUAAAGGGUGCGUAGGCGGCGCGGUAAGUCGGGUGUGAAAUCUCGGAGCUUAACUCCGAAACUGCAUUCGAUACUGCCGUGCUUGAGGACUGGAGAGGAGACUGGAAUUUACGGUGUAGCGGUGAAAUGCGUAGAUAUCGUAAGGAAGACCAGUGGCGAAGGCAGCCCCCUGGGAUAACACUGACGCUCAUGCACGAAAGCGUGGGGAGCAAACAGG